UUGUUUUUAGAAAAAAUAUUUGAUUGGCAUAACUAUCUUACUACAAGAAGUGCAGAAGAGGUGCAUGAAGAUUUUUUUUUAUCAUGUAAAUGUGUUUACAUCUAUCAUAGUAAUUAAGAUAAGAGAAGUUAAAUUUGUAAAUUUGUAACCCAAAAAAACUUACUAAUCAAAUACAAUUUUAUCUACAGAUUUGUAAGAGUGAACCGAAUGAAAUAGAAAUUGGCUCUGUGGUCAUGAUUGAAAAUGAUGAUUAACGAAGAUUAAAGUGGAUAUGGGUUUGCUAGUAUAUGUUCAUCAAAGGGUGUUUUAAUGAAUACGUAAAAAAAACUUUAAUCUUGUUGAAUACAUAAUAAACAAUGUUUUGUUUCAGUUUGCAUUAUUUUGGUGAUAACAAUGAUCAACACACCUUUUGGUUAGAAGUAAAGUCACCAUGCAUUCACACUGGGGAAGCUAAAACAAUAAAAAAAACUGAUACCUCAUUAUUCUGAUAAUGCAAUUGAUGUAGAGAAAAGUGACAGUUUUAUGGCUACAAAAGAAAAUCUUUAUUUAUUUCAUGCCGGAUGAGCAAGCAAACACAAAGUUUUGCUAAAAACUCCAACUGAUUGGAAUAAAUCAUACAAAUUUUCAUGGUCAAAAUAUUUGAUAAGAAAGAAUUUUAUUUGCUUCUGUAAAUAAUUCAUUAAGGAUUUGCUGGCCAUAGGAUGUUUUUGUCUUUUGAUCACACGAUUGUCAAGAAUUACUACAUAUUUUACUUUUAGUUUAUUCAAACUAAGUUUUUCCAGUUGGUUGAAGUAAUAAACACAAAUAUUCUUUGGGUGACCCAAAGUCUCCGUACAAUGGAAAAAUUUUGAUGAAAGAAAAUUGUUGAUGGUCGUUGCGAGCUGCGUACGCGUUCUCAAUGUAUUGUUUCGUCCCAGUCUGCAUAAGUUCAUCAGCAUCCGGCAUGGUGUGUGUGAGGCCACCCUGGUCUGCCAACUUGCUGCUCCGCUACUACGUAAGUCCGCCAGCAUCCAACGGAGGGUGUGUGAGAGGCCGUCACGGUCGUCCAGCCCCCCGCUCACCUAUGAAUCUAUCCGCCUACUGCACCUGCCUUAAUUUAUAAGUAGUAUUAAUUAGUAUAUAAGGAAUGACCGAUUUUAUGUGAGCCUCAUCGGUCAUUGCACCACACCGAAUUGACCGCAAGGUUAACCCCACCCAACAAUAACUAGGUAAUAGAUUUAUCAAAUAUACCAUCUCCAAAAAACUCAUUUUGUGUUGUCAUUAAUUUAAAAUUUUCUUUUGUAGUUGUACAAACAAAUUCGUCAGUUUCCGGAACAAAAACAAAUUUAUCUCCAUUAAAACAACAAAAAUCAUUUUCCACCAGUUUAAGUUGAGACGUUGCUUCGUUGAAUGAUGUGGGAAAAAACUGAAUACAUUUUACAUCACUUUACGCACAGAUUGUAUAACGCUAUCUUAUGUGUGUCGGAUUAUCUUUAAUUAAUUCAGUUCUUAUAAUUUUUAAUGACCUGGUAGAAAUAUUAUCAUCCGCUUUUCUUUUACAAUUCUCUCUCAAGAUGUGUCGACUAUUAACUAAAUGCUUAUCUUCACCAGUUGACUGAUGUAGAGACUUCUUAUCUGUAGUUGUUACAAUACUUGCAGUGCAAUUUUUGUUUGUACAGACCCAUUUAAUUUAUCCAUCUUGAUGUUUUCUAACAAAACCGUAUUUAAAUUUAUCUAAAAGAACUAACUCUUUGCCUUUUUUGGACAUAAUUAUUUGGAUUUCCAUAUGGAAGAGAACGAAAUGAAACAAACACGAUACGAACGAAUCACAAAUAAUACUGCACGACUAUAUACGAAUCGAGCUGGUUUUCCAUGAUAGAUGGUACAUCGUACCUAUCUAUCUUAUCGCCUGGCGUAAUAGCAGAAAACCCCUAUAUUAUCCCUAUUUGAUUACCUAUUUUUAAAAUUAUCAUUUAAAAAUUUGUUAUUGACUACCACCAAAUCUGACAACACCGCACGAUUAAAGGCAGGUAAAAACGUUCGCAAUCGUGUUACCGGAAAAGGUCCAUUCGCAAUUGUUCCAUUCGGAAUCGUAUAUUACCCCUUAUUCACGGGAGGAGACACUUUUUUUUUGUGCCUGUGCUCCGGUACCUUAACCUUAAGGCUAAUAAUUUAAUUUUAGAGUUUAUCGUGGAGGUAACAAUCUGUUUAAUAAUUAUUUUUAAACCUACAUCUAAAAUAUAUCAAUAUUUUACACAAUGAUAUAUUACCACCAUGACGUGUCCAUGUACAGACCAUGUCCCACAACAGUAA